rnacentral:rRNA from 1 species
GGAUGAACGCUAGCGGCGCGCUUAACGCAUGCAAGUCGAGCGAUGAGGCUCCCUUCGGGGGGUACAUCAGCGGCAGACGGGUGAGUAACACGUAGGUAACCUGCCCUCAAGACGGGGAUAACGCCUGGAAACGGGCGCUAAUACCGGAUGACCUUAGUUGGGGAAGCACCGGCUAAGGAAAGGCAAUAGCGCUUGAGGAGGGGCCUGCGGCCCAUCAGUUAGUUGGUAGGGUAACGGCCUACCAAUGCGAAGACGGGUAGGGGGUGUGAGAGCACGGCCCCCCACACUGGGACUGAGACACGGCCCAGACUCCUACGGGAGGCAGCAGCGGGGAAUAUUGCGCAAUGGACGGAAGUCAGACGCAGCGACGCCGCGUGGGUGAAGAAGGCCUUCGGGUUGUAAAGCCCUUUUCUGUGGGAAGAGGAAGGACGGUACCAUAGGAAUAAGCGUCGGCUAACUACGUGCCAGCAGCCGCGGUAAGACGUAGGACGCGAGCGUUAUCCGGAUUUACUGGGCGUAAAGCGUGUGUAGGCGGCGUGACAAGUUGGGCGUGAAAGCCCCGUGCUCAACGCGGGGAGGCCGCACAAUACUGUCAGGCUAGAGGGCAUCAGAGGGGUGUGGAAUUCCCGGAGUAGCGGUAAAAUGCGCAGAUAUCGGGAGGAACACCGGUGGCGAAAGCGGCACCCUGGGGUGCACCUGACGCUGAGAGACGACAGCUAGGGGAGCGAACAGGAUUCGAGACCCUGGUAGUCCUAGCCGUAAACGAUGGAUGCUAGGUGUGGGAGUGAAGAACUUCUGUGCCGCAGCGAACGCGAUAAGCAUCCCGCCUGGGGAGUACGGCCGCAAGGUUAAAACUCAAACGAAUUGACGGGGACCCGCACAAGCAGCGGAGCGUGUGGUUAACUUCGAUGCUACACGAAG